CCUACGGGGGGCUGCAGUGGGGAAUAUUGGACAAUGGGCGAAAGCCUGAUCCAGCCAUGCCGCGUGUGUGAAGAAGGCCUUCGGGUUGUAAAGCACUUUCAGUGGGGAAGAAAGCCUUGGGGCUAAUACCCUCGAGGAAGGACAUCACCCACAGAAGAAGCACCGGCUAACUCCGUGCCAGCAGCCGCGGUAAUACGGAGGGUGCGAGCGUUAAUCGGAAUUACUGGGCGUAAAGCGCGCGUAGGCGGUCUGAUAAGCCGGUUGUGAAAGCCCGGGGCUCAACCUGGGAACGGCAUCCGGAACUGUCAGGCUAGAGUGCAGGAGAGGAAGGUAGAAUUCCCGGUGUAGCGGUGAAAUGCGUAGAGAUCGGGAGGAAUACCAGUGGCGAAGGCGGCCUUCUGGACUGACACUGACGCUGAGGUGCGAAAGCGUGGGUAGCAAACAGGAUUAGAUACCCUUGUAGUC
rnacentral:rRNA from 1 species